rnacentral:rRNA from 1 species
UACGGAGGGUGCAAGCGUUGUUCGGAUUUACUGGGCGUAAAGGGCGCGUAGGCGGCGUGCCACGUCACUUGUGAAAUCUCCGAGCUUAACUCGGAACGGUCAACUGAUACUGUGCGGCUAGAGUGCGGAAGGGGCAACUGGAAUUCUUGGUGUAGCGGUGAAAUGCGUAGAUAUCAAGAGGAACACCGGCGGCGAAGGCGGGUUGCUGGGCCGACACUGACGCUGAGGCGCGAAAGCCAGGGGAGCGAACGGG